rnacentral:rRNA from 1 species
AUUGAACGCUGGCGGCAUGCCUUACACAUGCAAGUCGAACGGCAGCAUGGAGAGCUUGCUCUCUGAUGGCGAGUGGCGAACGGGUGAGUAAUGCAUCGGAACGUACCGUGUAAUGGGGGAUAACGUAGCGAAAGUUACGCUAAUACCGCAUACGACCUGAGGGUGAAAGCAGGGGAUCGCAAGACCUUGCGUUAUACGAGCGGCCGAUGUCAGAUUAGCUAGUUGGUGAGGUAAAGGCUCACCAAGGCGACGAUCUGUAGCGGGUCUGAGAGGAUGAUCCGCCACACUGGGACUGAGACACGGCCCAGACUCCUACGGGAGGCAGCAGUGGGGAAUUUUGGACAAUGGGCGCAAGCCUGAUCCAGCAAUGCCGCGUGUGCGAAGAAGGCCUUCGGGUUGUAAAGCACUUUUGUCAGGAAAGAAAGCCAUUGGGUUAAUACCCUGAUGGGAUGACGGUACCUGAAGAAUAAGCACCGGCUAACUACGUGCCAGCAGCCGCCGCCG